CCAGAGGGUCGGGCGGCCGCGUCAUGUGCAAACAUGCCGAGGAAAGUCCGGGCUCCACGGAACAACGGUGCCGGGUAACACCCGGCGGGGGCGGCCAGUAAUGGGCGCCUUCAGGGACAGUGCCACAGAGAGCAGACAAGCGACGGUUUCGGCCACGCGAAAAGUGAAAGGGUGCGGCAAGAGCGCACCGCGGUGCUGGCAACAGCAUCGGCACGGCAAACCCCACCGGGAGCAAGACCGAAUAGGGGCGGCAUGGGGCCUUGUGCCCCGGGGCGUGUUCCCGCUCGCCGCCCGGGUUGGUUGCUAGAGGCGGCGCGCAAGCGUCGUCGGAGAGGAAUGGUCGCCCAGUCCCUUCGGGGAUGGACAGAACCCGGCUUACAGACCCUUUGGCACC
rnacentral:RNase_P_RNA from 1 species